UACGAAGGGGGCAAGCGUUAUUCGGAAUGAUUGGGCGUAAAGGACGCGUAGGCGGCUUUGUAAGUCUUUAGUGAAAUCCCCGAGCUUAACUUGGGAAUUGCUUAGGAUACUGCAUAGCUAGAGUGUGGGAGAGGCAAGUGGAAUCUUUGGUGUAGAGGUGAAAUUCUUAGAUAUCAGAGAGAACGUCAGUGGCGAAAGCGACUUGCUAGAACACAACUGACGAUGAGGCGUGAAGGCGUGGGGAGCAAAAGGG
rnacentral:rRNA from 1 species